rnacentral:misc_RNA from 1 species
AAAAAAUAAUUAUGGGACUAAAUAAUUAAUGGAGUCAAAUUACAUGCACUAAUUUUUUUUCUAAAAUGUCGAAAUUAACUAUUUAAUUUCACUAAAAUAGAAGGAUUAAAUAAUAUUUUGAUCAGUAUUGACUAAUAGAAAAAUUGAUGGAGUUAACAGUUUAAUAGAAGUAAAAUAUAAAAAUUAAAUAAUAUUUUGAUCAGUAUUGACUAAUAGAAAAAUUGAUGGAGUUAACAGUUUAAUAGAAGUAAAAUAUAAAA